GGCCCGGUGGCACAGCGGUAGUGCUUCUGCAUACAAUAUUGCUAAUUAAAAUGACAAAAUAGUAUGCAGACGACGUUGGUUCGGGUCCGGCCUGGGCCU